GGGGGGGGGGGGGGGGGGGCGGAGGGCAGGCGGGUCGGGCGGGGGGGCCCUGCGGUGGUGGGGUGCUCGAGUGGCGGACGGGUGAGGGGCACGGGAGUAACCUGCCCUUGACUUUGGGAUGGCUUCAGGAAACUGGGGCUAAUACCGGAUCGGAGCUCCUGCUGCAUGGUGGGGGGUGGACAGUUUCGGCGGUUGGGGAUGGACUCGCGGCUUAUCAGCUUGUUGGUUGGGUAGUGGCUUACCAAGGCUUUGACGGGUAGCCGGCCUGAGAGGGUGACCGGCGACAUGGGGACUGCGAUACGGCCCAGACUCGUAUGGGAGGCAGCAGUGGGGAACAUGGCACAAUGGGCGGAAGUGGGAUGCAGCAACGCCGCGUGCGGGAUGACGGCCUUCGGGUUGUAAAACGCUGUCGCCUGUGACGAAGCGGGAGUGACGGUAAUGAGUAAAGAAGCACCGGCUAACUACGUG
rnacentral:rRNA from 1 species